AGGGUGACUUGUAUGUUGUGUCGC
rnacentral:siRNA from 1 species